rnacentral:tRNA from 1 species
GGAGAGGUUGCGUAGUUCGGCCUAACGCGCACGCCUGGAGAGCGUGUAAUCCGCAAGGGUUCGCGGGUUCAAAUCCCGCCCUCUCCGCCU